GCUUGCAGGAGGCCGAGACCUCGGAGUGACUAGCUUCAGAGCCCAGAGUCACCGAAGAGGCUCCCCGGAGCAGCGCUGAUGAAUUCUUCUUACACAAAGACCAGAGAUUCGGCCCCAGCUCCACCCAAGCCUAUCAAUCCUGAGAUUCCAGGCUGGAGGAUUUCAAUAUAACUUGCCAGGUUGGGAGGCACUGGAGCACUCCAAGAGGGACGGGGUGAAAAAGCGUGAGCACCAGAGGAAAGAACUGGCAACCAGCCUCUGGCAGUCCCAGGAGCCUAGCAGGUCAGCACCAAUCGUGUCUUCCUCCCUCUACCCGAGAUGAUCUCCACACAGCCAAGGGGGAAGAGACAAAGACAAAUAAAGGACUUUGGACCUGCUGUUUACUUUCAAGGUGUUGCAUUUGGUAGCCUGUCAAAAGAUAAUUUCCUAGGAGGCUUGA